rnacentral:rRNA from 1 species
UCCUCUGACACCCUAGAGAUAGGGCGUUCCCCUUCGGGGGACAGAGUGACAGGUGGUGCAUGGUUGUCGUCAGCUCGUGUCGUGAGAUGUUGGGUUAAGUCCCGCAACGAGCGCAACCCUUGAUCUUAGUUGCCAGCAUUCAGUUGGGCACUCUAAGGUGACUGCCGGUGACAAACCGGAGGAAGGUGGGGAUGACGUCAAAUCAUCAUGCCCCUUAUGACCUGGGCUACACACGUGCUACAAUGGAUGGAACAAAGGGCCGCAAAACCGCGAGGUCGAGCCAAUCCCAUAAAUCCAUUCUCAGUUCGGAUUGCAGGCUGCAACUCGCCUGCAUGAAUCGGGG